AUUGAACGCUGGCGGCAUGCCUUACACAUGCAAGUCGAACGGCAGCACGGGAGCAAUCCUGGUGGCGAGUGGCGAACGGGUGAGUAAUACAUUGGAACGUGCCCAGUAGUGGGGGAUAACCCGGCGAAAGCCGGACUAAUACCGCAUACGACCUACGGGUGAAAGCAGGGGAUCGCAAGACCUUGCGCUAUCGGAGCGGCCGAUGUCAGAUUAGCUUGUUGGCGGGGAAAAGCCCACCAAGGCGACGAUCUGUAGCUGGUCUGAGAGGACGACCAGCCACACUGGGACUGAGACACGGCCCAGACUCCUACGGGAGGCAGCAGUGGGGAAUUUUGGACAAUGGGCGCAAGCCUGAUCCAGCCAUGCCGCGUG
rnacentral:rRNA from 1 species